rnacentral:rRNA from 1 species
UACGAAGGGGGCUAGCGUUGUUCGGAAUUACUGGGCGUAAAGCGCACGUAGGCGGCUUUGUAAGUUAGAGGUGAAAGCCUGGAGCUCAACUCCAGAAUUGCCUUUAAGACUGCAUCGCUUGAAUCAUGGAGAGGCGGGUGGAAUUCCGAGUGUAGAGGUGAAAUUCGUAGAUAUUCGGAAGAACACCAGUGGCGAAGGCGGCCGCUGGACAUGUAUUGACGCUGAGGUGGCGAAAAGC